rnacentral:lncRNA from 1 species
UUUAUUUUCUUUCUUCUACAAUCUUGGUUGCUAAAGCCCCAUGAAUACAUGCUUACAUACUCCCAUAUCGCCUUAAGACUGCUACACCUUUUUCCCAACACGUGUCGUGAAUGUGAUCUACAAAUUCACUGUUUGGAGCUAGCAAGGUAUAGUUUUCUCCUUUAUGCUUGUUCCUUCUUUACUACUUCUGCUUUUAGGGCUAUUUACCCACUAUGUUGCCA